rnacentral:rRNA from 1 species
ACGGGAGGCAGCAGCUAAGAAUAUUCCGCAAUGGAGGAAACUCUGACGGAGCGACGCCGCGUGGAUGAUGAAGGUCGGAAGAUUGUAAAAUCCUUUUAAGUAUGAUGAAUAACCUGUUCAGGAAAUGGGAUAGGGAUGACCGUAAUACUUGAAUAAGCAACGGCUAAUUACGUGCCAGCAGCCGCGGUAACACGUAAGUUGCGAGCGUUGUUCGGAAUUAUUGGGCGUAAAGGGCAUGUAGGCGGUUUUGCAAGCUUGAUGUGAAAUGCCGGGGCUUAACUCCGGCACUGCGUUGAGAACUGCAUGACUAGAGUAACUGAGGGGCAGCCGGAAUUCCAGGUGUAGGGGUGAAAUCUGUAGAUAUCUGGAAGAACACCAAUGGCGAAGGCAGGCUACCAGCAGAUUACUGACGCUGAGGUGCGAAGGUGCGGGGAGCAAACAGGAUUAGAUACCCUGGUA